UACAUUGUGGUGUAUGGCACGUAAAUUUUUGGAUUUUGAGGAGAAGGUUCGACGCCUUCCAUUGUAA
rnacentral:tRNA from 1 species